UACGGAGGGUGCGAGCGUUAUCCGGAUUCACUGGGUUUAAAGGGUGCGUAGGUGGGUCUGUAAGUCAGUGGUGAAAUCUCCGAGCUUAACUCGGAAACUGCCAUUGAUACUAUAGAUCUUGAAUUAUCUGGAGGUGAGCGGAAUAUGUCAUGUAGCGGUGAAAUGCUUAGAUAUGACAUAGAACACCAAUUGCGAAGGCAGCUCACUACGGAUUGAUUGACACUGAGGCACGAAAGCGUGGGGAUCAAACAGG
rnacentral:rRNA from 1 species